rnacentral:lncRNA from 1 species
GAAGUAGGCUGUGAUUCAAUGAUACAUUAACAAGCACCGCAUCGAUUAUAUGCAAAGCGGGACAAGCUAGUUAACUAGUGAUUAUGUUAAGAUUUAUUUUAUAAAAAAACAGUUUAAUGCUAGCUAGCACCUUACCUUGGCUCCUUGCUGCACUCACAUAACAGGUAGUCAGCCUGCCACACAGUCUCCUUGUGGAGUGCAAUGUAAUCGGUGUCCAAAAAUGCCGAUUACCGAUUGUUAUGAAAACUUGAAAUCGGCCCUGAUUAAUCGUUGACCUCACCCCAGGGCCAAUCUACUUUUAACUGUUUAAGGUUUAUGAAAGUCUAGAUUGGAGGUGGGUUGGAAAAAAAUUCAAAAUGUAGCAGUAAUACUAUUCAAUAAUAAAAGUAAAAUAAUUAAAAUGCUUGUGUCUGGAUACAGCCCUUAGCCGUGGUAUAUCUGCCAUAUAACACAAACCCCAGAGGUGCCUUAUUGCUGUUUAUAAACUGGUUACCAACGUAAUUAGAACAGUAAAAAGUCAUUUUUGGUAAUACCCGUGGUAUACGGCUUUCAGCCAGCCAAUCAGCAUUCAGGGCUCGAACCACCCGGUUUAUAAUGACGUUUAUUACAAUCAUGUCUGCAAAUGAUAGGAAUUACAAUCCAAGAUAACCGCUUUUCAACGACAAAGUAUAGGAGGCACUUUGCAUUGUCUGUCACUUUUCUUAACUGAUCAUAAUGUAGACAGCAACUCGUCAAGUUCACUAGAACACAAUGUUGAACAUAAGGAAUCAGGCGGUAGGCUUAUGACCAUGGCUCAACGCAACGGUGUCUGAAAUCAAUGCAAUCUAGGCUGUUCAAAAGUAGUGCGCUGUAUAGGGAAUAGGGUACAAUUUGGGACCUGUCGACAGUUUCCUUGUUGACCCUGCUUUAGAGUAGAAUCUUGAACCUUAUGGACAUUUGUGUCAAAUCAAAAGUAUUUUUCUUCAACGUGUAAAAAAGAUAGAAAAUAUAGGGGGGAAAAAGACAAAUCCUCAAUAACUAACAGUUAAUUCUUCAUCGGGUCAAAAACCUCAUCUACAUUUUGAAUUGGCCCACAACUCUCUAAAAGUUCAGAAAGAGCAGUCUCUAUUGAUGGCACUUGUUCAUUCAGGUUUGAUUCAUCAAGCUCUUCGCAAGCAGUUCCCUCAUGCAUCUCUUCAAUGGCUCUUGGUCUUCCUCUCCUCCUUCUUGUGGCCUUCCUUUUGGUCCCCCUGUCCUCCUCUUCCCACUGUUCAUUCAGGUUGGAUCCAUCAUGCUCUUUAUUCACACUUCCCGCAUACAUCUCUCUGGUGGUCCCUGGUCUCAUUCUCGGCCUGCCUAUUGGUCUGCCUGUAGUCUUGUUGCUACCACCCUCUUCUGCCCCUGGGUUGAAGUCUGAGUCACUGUUGCGCUCACUCUCCCCCAACUCCUCAUAAUCAAAGGUCAGGCGUUUCCUCUUCCUCCCUGCCCUCUUCACUCUUUCCUGCCCAGACCCUGCAUUUGUCUUUCGACUCUCCUCGGUCACUACCCGUUGUUCAGUCAAAGUCUCAGAGUUUGAGACUGGCUCCUGUUUCUUCUCCUUGGUCCCAGAGGCAGGGUCCGGAUGGUAGUGCUGGACGUGGCUUUUCAGACUCACGUUGUGGUUGAAGGACUUGCCGGCACUUGUACGGCCGCUCGCCCGUGUGAAGGCGCAUGUGAGACUUGAGAAUUGAAGGUGCAAGUUGGGCCAGUUGAGGAGUCAGUCAGAGCGUCAGUGGAUGUGCCAGUAGUGGUGCCAGUUGUGGUGCCAAUCGAAGCAUCAGUUGUGCCAGUCGAUGCUGCUGAAGAGGACAGGUAUCUAGCUGGGAGGUUAAAGGGCUGGCUCUUCCAUUGGCUCCGGUGGUCACAGUGGUUGCAGAACUGGUUGAUGGUGAGCAGGGUAUCUUGGAUGAACUUGUCGAUGCUGCAGGAGCUGCGACAGACCGGACAAGUCUUGAACAAUGGAAGGAGGCAUUCUUCAAAGACCACGUACUUCCUGGCCAUGUACACCGCAACAGAGUGUAAACUGGAAGAAAAUUAUUUAUUUAUAAUCACAAGCUAUGACAGAUUAGGAUUUGCAAGCAGGCCAGACAGUGAGACAGGUCAAAAGUCAUUAUGCAUAUUUGUAUGACAAUUUUCAGCUGAGUAGUUGCUCAUAUUACUUAGGCUAUGGGCCCAACAUUCAUUAGCCAAUUAAUUUACAAUAGUUUCCCACUUUAACAAAAAUAAAUGUAGAGUUGAAGUUGGAAGUUUAUACACCUUAGCCAAAUACAAUUAAACUCAGUUUCACAAUUCCUGACAUUUAAUCCUGGUAAAAAUUCCCUGUUUUAGGUCAGUUAGGAUCACUACAUUAUUUUAAGAAUGUGAAAUGUCAAUAAUAGGAGAGAAUUAUUUAAUUUAAUCUUUUAUCACAUUCCCAGUGGGUCAGAAGUUUACAUACACUCAUCUGGUAGCAUUGCCUUUAAAUUGUUUAACGUCGGUCAAACGCUUCAGGUAGCCUUCCACAAGCUUCCCACAAUAACUUGGGUGAAUUUUGGCCAAUUCCUCCUGACAGAGCUGGUGUAACUGAGUCAGGUUUGUAAGCCUCCUUGCUCACACAAGCUUUUUCAGUUCUGUCCACAAAUUUUCUAUAGGAUUGAGGUCAGGGCUUUGUGAUGGUCACUCCAAUACCUUGACUUUGUUGUCCUUAAGCCAUUUUCCACAACUUUGGAAGUAUGCUUGGGGUCAUUGUCCAUUUGGAAGACCCAUAUGCGACCAAGCUUUAACUUCCUGACUGAUGUCUUGAGAUGCUGCUUCAAUAUAUCCACAUGAUUUUCCUACCUCAUGAUGCCAUCUAUUUUGUGAAGUGCACCAGUCCCUCCUGUAGCAAAGCACCACCACAACAUGAUGCUGCCACCCCCGUGCUUCAUGGUUGGGAUGGUGUUCUUCAGUUUGCAAGCCUCCCUCUUUUUCCUCCAAACAUAACGAUGGUCCUUAUGGCCAAACAGUUAUAUUUUUGUUUCAUCAGACCAGAGGACAUUUCUCCAAAAAGUAUGAUCUUUGUCCCCAUGUGCAGAUGCAAACUGUAGUCUGGCAUUUUUAUGGCGGUUUUGGAGCAGUGGCCUCUUCCUUGCUGAGCAGCCUAUGUCGAUAUGGUACUCGUUUUACUGUGGAUAUAGAUACUUUUGUACUUGUUUCCUCCAGCAUCUUCACAAGGUCCUUUGCUGUUGUUCUGGGAUUGAUUUGCACUUUUCGCACCAAAGUACGUUCAUCUCUAGGAGACAGAACGCGUCUCCUUCCUGAGCGGUAUGACAGCUGUGUGGUCCCAUGGUGUUUAUACUUGCGUACUAUUAUUUGUACAGAUGAACGUGGUACCUUCAGGCAUUUGGAAAUUGCCCCAAGGAUGAACCAGACUUGUGGAGGUCUACAAUUUCAUUUUCUGAGGUCUUGGCUGAUUUCUUUUGAUUUCCCAUGAUGUCAAGCAAAGAGGCACUGAGUUUGAAGGUUGGCCUUGAAACACAUCCACAGGUACACCUCCAAUUGACUCAAAUGAUGUCAAUUAGCCUAUCAGAAGCUUCUAAAGUCAUGACAUCAAUUUCUGGAAUUUUCCAAGCUGUUUAAAGGCACAGUCAACUUAGUGUAUGUAAACUUCUGACCCACUGGAAUUGUGAUACAGUGAAUUAUAAGUGAAAUAAUCUGUCUGUAAACUAUUGUUGGAAAAAUGACUUGUGUCAUGCACAAAGUAGAUGUCGUAACGGACUUGCCAAAACUAUAGUUUGUUAACAAGAAAUUUGCGUAGUGGUUGAAAAAUGAGUUUUAAUGACUCCAACCUAAGUGUAUGUAAACUUCUGACUUCAACUGUAUAUACCGGUUCACUUCCUUCGGUGGUAUGUCCUCCGUAAAGGAAGUAUUGACUACGACAUUCUUCCGGAUUGGCCAGACUUGGACAGCUGUAAAAUCAGACACAAAACAAAACAAUACAGCAGCAUGUAAACACCAAUUCAUUCCAGCUGUAAUUGAAAAGGAGGAAACCAUUCUACAAAAAAGAUACGAGCCAUAACACUCACCUUUGUUUUUCUUUUCUUCUCUGUAAUAAUAAGCCUGUGUUGACACGUUUUGUUUUAGCGGUACCACAGCGCAUCUUGGAGGUGAUGGUACUGUAAUGUUGCAUGUUGUUGUUUCAUAUUUUGUCGUCACGCCCAACGUCAUGUUUUCCACCUAAACAAGACAACAUAAACAACAUCUUAUCAACUAUAACAACAGGGGGUUUGCAAUAUUUGGCGAAAUAUUUUCUUUACCCUUCACUGAUAUUGAGAAUGAACGCUCGCCCACACAACGCCAAACACGUGGUCAGUGCUUGUGAGGCAGGUUGGACAUACUGACAAAUUCUGGAAAAUGACCUUGGAGGCAGUUGAUGGUAGAGAAAUUAAAAUUCAAUUCUCUGGCAACAGCUCUGGUGGACAUUCCUGCAGUCAGCAUGCCAAUUGUACCCUCCCUCAAAACAUCUGUGGCAUUGUGCUGUGUGACAAAACUGCACAUUUUAGAGUGGCUUUUUAUUGUCCCCAGCACAAGGUGCACCUGUGUAAUGAUCAUGGUGUUUAAUCAGCUUCUUGAUAUGCCACUCCUGUCAGGUGGAAGGAUUAUCUUCACAAAGAAGAAAUGCUCACUAACAGGGACGUAAACUAAUUUGUGUACAAUUUGAGAGAACGUUUUGGGGAUUUUUUAUUUCAACUCACAAAACAUGGGACUGCAUGUUUUACAUUUUUGUUUAGUGUAGAUGCUAAAUGAACUGUUGAGUUGCGACUGUCAGUGAAAAGUAGAGCGGCCCAGACAGGCAUAUUGCAAUAUUUCAAAAUACAAUUGCGGGAAAAUGAAGUUUGGAGAGCAAAAUGGCUAAAAGUCUUUUAGUUGGGUUACUGUUGUUCGCUCAACUAUCUUACUGGCACCAGCGGAGAGCGUCGGCCAAAUCCCCGGUACUGCACUACACUAACACCUUCACUCUAUUUCGUGAACUGUAUUGUUGGUUAAGGGCUUGUAAGUCAGCAUUUCACUGUCUACACCUGUUGUAUUCGGUGCAUGUGACAAAUAAAAUUGUAUUUCUCAUUGUUGGGUCAGUGCCACUUAAAGUUUGUUUUUGGACAUUAACUUCCUUGUCCAGUUGAGACGGACGUCAUAUUCUAUUAGCGUCUCCCCUUCUCGUAGGACCUAUUAUAUGGACAAUGUUUUUACUGAUCUGUUUGUCAGUAUCAGCAGAGUAGGCUACCCUGUCAUUUAUCGUAUUAAAAAAAGUAGUCUGCUAAUGUCUCCAGUCUUUUUUUCUUUCUUUUUUAACUUUAUUUAACGAGGCAAGUCAGUUAAGAACAAAUUCUUAUUUUCAGUGACGGCCUAGUGGGUUAACUGCCUUGUUCAGGGACAGAACGACAGAUUUGUACCUUGUCAGCUAGGAGAUUCGAACUUGCAACCAUUCGGUUACUAGUCCAACGCUCUAACCACUAGGCUACGCUGCCGCUCCAUAUAAAGUGUAGUAGGGUUGAAUGAAAAGCCACAUUUUUCAUGUGCAAAGAAAGAAACGUAUCUGAUGUAGCCUAGUCCUACUCUAUGCUAUAGGCGCUCAGACAUGCAUUGAACCCUCUUUUUUUGCCAACAGUGAUUGAGUUAUACGAUUAGCUUAAAUUAUGACUAUCCAAUCUACUCAUCACAUUACAAAUAGGUGGCUCCCUUACAUAAGUAUGCAAAUGUGAUGAUGCAUGGAAUGCUUUAUUACUAAAACAUCCAUUUUGAUGGUGAAAAAUUAGUUUCCCAAAACUUAUGCCCCGCCUAUGCUGUCAACAUUAGACCUGUCUGAGCUUGUAUGUCUCACAGCGUCUGUCUUAAGAAGGCUCCCGCUGGUGCCAGACCCUAUAGGCUCCCGAGUGGCGCAGCCGUCCAAGGCACUGCGUCUCAGUGCUAGAGGAGUCACUACAAACCCUGGUUCAAGUCCAGGCUGUGUCAUAACCAGCCAUGAUUGGGAGUCCCAUAGGGUGGCGCACAAUUGGCCCAGCGUCAUUAGGGUUUAGCCGGGGUAGACCGUUAUUGUAAAUAAGAAUGUUCUUAACCGACUUGCCUAGUUAAAUAAAAAAUAUUUCAAAUUUUAGAGCACCAGCAGCAUACCACCUUGCUGGCUGGCCUCUGAGGCUAAGCAGGGUUGGUCCCUGGAUGGGAGACCAGAUGCUGCUGGGAAUGGUGUUGGAGGGCCAGUAGGAGGUAAUCUUUCCUCUGGGCUGAAAAAAUAUAUAUAUAUAUCCCAAUGCCCCAGGGCAGUGAUUGGGGACAUUGCCUUGUGUCGGGUGCUGUCUUUUGGACGGGAUGUUAAACGGGUGACCUGAGUCUCUGUGGUCACUAAAGAUCCCAUGGUGCUUAUCGUAAGAGUAGGGGUGUUAACCCCGGUGUCCUGGCUAAAUUCCCAAUCUGGCCCUCAUACCAUCAUGGCCACCUAAUCAUCCCCAGCUUCCAAUUGACUCAUUCAUCCCCCCCUCCUCUCCCCUGUAACUAU